rnacentral:lncRNA from 1 species
AAAUGCAAAGUAUACUUAUUAUAUACUAGUAGUUAGGCUCAUUUGGGUGUACUAUUAGUGUUUAAAUACGUGAGUAUUGAGCAUGGCACUCCUAUCGUGUAGUUCUAGAUCCGCCACUGGUUUCUGGAUGCGAGCCUAAACACACAUUAGUUACUCAAAAUACAUGCCCAUGGCUAACACUGGAAAUCCUGGGAAAUCAACACCACACCACAACAAGUGGAUGGCAGCUAACAUUUCCGUCCAGUGCGAUGGAAACCCCAGGAAACCACUGCCACACCACAUCAAAGGGGAUGGUAGCUAAACUUUCUCUUCAGUUUGUUCCGCAUAACGAAAUGCUUUCACAGCAAAUGCACACCUACUGCAUAUAUAAUGCAUAUCUGACACCCCAUCUCACUUCAGAAUGGCAGCACCUCGAUCAUGAAAUCUAGCAGCUCACCUCGGUUCCCCCUCGUAGAAAUCACCUCGUAUGCUUCGCCCAGAGAGUCAAAAGUAGUACCAAAAGCUGGUGUGAUCACGUUUUCAGCUGGGUUCUCUCCACAACACCUGGCUGCCUUCUCGAAUGCACUGAUUUGAUUUGGGCACGGUGUUCUGCUUCCUGCGGCAGCACCAAUCCUAAGCCUGCAAGCACAAACAUACAUUGCAUAAAUUUUCUGAAUGCACAGAGCAAUCAGCCCGCAAACACAGGCACAAGUAGCAUAAAUUUUCAGAAUGCAGAGAGCAAUCAGCCUGCAAACACAGGCACAUAUAGCAUGAAUUUUCUGAAUACAGAGAGCAAUCAGCCUGCAAAAACAGGCACAUAUAGCAUGAAUUUUCUGAAUGCAGAGAUCAAUCAGCCUGCAAGCACAGUAUAGCAUGCUUGUUCUGAAUGCAGAGACCAAUCAGCACUUGCUCUAACUGUAGGAUUUCUUCACUCAUGACGCUUCCUAAAUUGCCCUUCACUAACCUCUUGUUACACCCCGACGCUUAGGGAUUCAGCUUCCCCAUUGAUAGCAUGCUUGUUCUGAAUGCAGAGACCAAGCAGCACUUGCUCUAACUGUAGGAUUUCUUCACUCAUGACGCUUCCUAAAUUUCCCUUCACUAAC